rnacentral:rRNA from 1 species
GAUGAACGCUGGCGGCGUGCCUAAUACAUGCAAGUCGAGCGAACAGAUAAGGAGCUUGCUCCUUUGACGUUAGCGGCGGACGGGUGAGUAACACGUGGGUAACCUACCUAUAAGACUGGGAUAACUUCGGGAAACCGGAGCCAAUACCGGAUAAUAUUUCGAACCGCAUGGUUCGAUAGUGGAAGAUGGUUUUGCUAUCACUUAUAGAUGGACCCGCACCGUAUUAGCUAGUUGGUAAGGUAACGGCUUACCAAGGCGACGAUACGUAGCCGACCUGAGAGGGUGAUCGGCCACACUGGAACUGAGACACGGUCCAGACUCCGACGGGAGGCAGCAGUAGGGAAUCUUCCGAAAUGGGCGAAAGCUUGACGGAGCAACGCCGCGGGAGUGAUGAAGGUCUUCGGAUCGUAAAACUAUGUUAUUAGGGAAGAACAUACGUGUAAGUAACUGUGCACGUCUGGACGGUACCUAAUCAGAAAGCCACGGCGAACUACGU